rnacentral:tRNA from 1 species
GGAGAGGUGUCCGAGUGGCUGAAGGAGCACGCCUGGAAAGUGUGUAUAGCGCAAGCUAUCGAGGGUUCGAAUCCCUCUCUCUCCG